rnacentral:lncRNA from 1 species
UUGCUGUGUGUGCACUGGAUUUGACUGCCUUGUAUCCCAGUAUCUAAAAGUAGCCAAAAAGACUCAUGUGGAGAGGACAGAAGCAUCAGAUCAAGCAAAAUUGUUAGCUUUCAUACCAUAUUUAAUAAGAAGGAUACAAUACAUAUCAGCAUCACAAAAUACUAAUCCCAUAAUGUGCAAAGGUAAUAGGAAACACUUGAUGCAUGGAACAAAAAUCAGACUAAACUGAAGAGCUUAUUGGACUGUUACAUAAACAAGGAAGAAGAUAUUACAUUGUAAUGAUCAUUAGUGGAAAUUUCCUGGCAAGCAAAAUAUAUUCAGAAAGAACUACAACUUCUCCAAAAAUCAAGAAUGGCAUUUGCUUCAAGCUACAAAAGAACUUAGGAGAACCCAAAAUAAUUUGAAUUUUCAAAUUGAAAUUUGAAAGUAAGGCUGGUGUAUCAUACAGCCAAGGAAAAGGAACUCGGCAGCAGAAUAGUGGCAAGACAGACUACAAAGGUAACACACAGAUACUGUUCAAAUUAUAGGGAUUUAGGUAUGGAAAGAAAAAAAGAGAAAAUACAGAUUCCGAAUAAUAUUUUCUUGGGUAAAAAAAAUGACAUGAUGAAUGUGAUACAAAACACAAAUGCCUAUCUAUACUCAGGAAAUUCUAAAUUCAAAUUAAAUAAAACAAAUCAUGAAACUAUAACGAGAUAUGGAAACUAUUCCUCCAAUAUCACCUAAGAUAUUCUAAAAGAUAUAAUGUUGAUAUUACGGGAUAUUUUUCAUAUAUUCUAAUUUCUAAAGAUAUAAUUUAAAAACAAAUUGCUGUAAAGGCAGCAAAUGCUAGCACAUUACUUCAUAGUCUUGUCCCAGCUUCCUGUGACUAAAAGGUUCAUUUCAGGAAUCCAAGCAAGUUCUUUGAUGGGUGCAUCAUGCAUGGCAACAGUCAUUGGUUGGCCUCCAGAUAACAGAGGCCACAUCUUCACUUGCUUAUCA